UACGUAGGGGGCGAGCGUUGUCCGGAUUCAUUGGGCGUAAAGAGCUCGUAGGCGGCUUGGCAAGUCGGGUGUGAAAACUCCAGGCUCAACCCUGGAGAGGCCACCCGAUACUGCCAUGGCUAGAGUCCGGUAGGGGGUCAUGGGAAUUCCUGGUGUAGCGGUGAAAUGCGCAGAGUAUCAGGAGGAACACCGGUGGCGAAGGCGGCUCACUGGACCAUUACUGACGCUGAUGCACGAAAGCUAGGGGAGCAAACAGG
rnacentral:rRNA from 1 species